rnacentral:lncRNA from 1 species
AGUCCUCCUGCCUCAGCCUCCCAAGCUGCUGGGAUUACAGGCAGGAACCACUGUGCCCAGCCACACCACUGUUUUUAUCACCAACUAGAUCCAUCUGGUAGAGCCCUGGCCCUCUGGAGAUCCUUCUUAUCCUCCGUCUCAUUUUCUAGAGGUUUCAGUUACCCACCUAAAACUGGUCUGAAAAUAUUAAGUGGAAAAUUCCAGACAUGAACAGGUUUCAAAUUGCACAUCAUUCUGAGUAACAUGAUGAAAUUUCUCUGUCCGGCUCUGUCCUGCUGAGGGUGCAGAUCAUCCCUUUACCAAUGUAUCCACACUGUAUGCACUACCCUCUCUUCAGCCACUUAGUAAACGUCUCAGUGACUAGGUUAACUGUCAUGGUAUUGUGGUAGUAGGAGCAAAUGUGACUCCAUUUUGUUUUAUGACUACAUCCUGUAAACAACCAUGCCAAGUAGAAGAGUCAAGACUGGGGCAAGAUGUUCUUUUCCUUUUGCUAUAGAAACCUUUAAGAAUGCAAAAGUACCUAAUGAGGUAUUGUUUCUGUAACUAGGGUAACGGGGCUCUGUUUCUGUAACUGGGGUGACUGGGCUAACUGUGACUGGUUAGGCUUCCCUCCGCUUGACUGCACUGUCCCGCUUCUGUAACCUGGCUUGCUUGCAUUGGCUAGACCCCCCCAAACAUCCCUUCUGCGGUUUUCAGGCUUAUAAGGAGUGCCCUUGCAAUUGUUCAAGGCUGAUCAGGGGAACAGCCUUAUGUUCUGGUCAGCCGCCACCGGUGUGCUUCAAUAGAGGCUUGAUUCGAUUAGACGUGAGUGGUCUGGAAGUCAGUACAUGAAACCCUGGGACGAAGCUUUAACUAUAACAGUAUUGCAGUGCUGUGCUCAAGUAACCCUUAUUUAACUUGAUUAUGCUCCCAAGCACAAGAGUAGACACACUGGCAACUUUAUGACAGCACAUUGUUAUAAUUGAUCUACUUUAUCAUAGAUAUUAUUGUUAAUCUCUUACUUUACCCAAUUUGUAAGUCAAACUUUAUCCUGGGUAUGUAAACAUUAGAAGAAACAAUUCACAUGGCGUCGGGCACUCUCCACAGUUUCCGGCCUCCUGGGACCGUCCCCUGCGGAUGAGGAGCUGUGUCUGUACCGGUCCACUUCUUUGGCGUGAUGCCUGUUUUUCUGCCUGGACUCUGGUUGGCCUGUGGCUCCCAAGCACAGGUCCUGUCCUGCAUAGGCUCAGAGCUCACUGUCAGAGAUGGUUUGUUGAAUGAAUGAACAACACAUGGAGCUCCUGAGAGGCAGGAACUGUAAAUGUCUCUCAGAAUCACGGGAUCUCUCCCGCCAAGUGUGUCCCUAAGGAUCACAGAUUUCUCUGUGGAGGACCUCGGUCCUCACUGCAGCCGGGCUGUCUGCUGCCAGCCUCCUGGUCCCCUCCUUGUAACUGGCCAUAAUCCUCCUGCCGUCCCGGCCUCCAGGCCAAAUCCAAGGGCCUCACCUCCAGGCGGACUCCUCUGAGCUCACUAGCUCUGGCCUCCGAGAGCCUGGACGGGCACGUGGUCCCCCGCUCUGGGCCUCGUUUUCUUCAACGCCCAAACGAGGAGGGCUUUUUGGUCACUUUUAGCUCAGUGUCCUUAGUGGGCUGCAAGGACCAGCUGAAGGCAGGUGGGACUUGGUGUUGGGGACUCUCCAGAGUCUUUGGGCCCCAGAGACUCCUGGGGGGAACUGGCGUGUCUCCUCAAGGACACUAGAUGGCGCCAGCGGGUCACCCAUCUCCCUGAGGCUGCCGGGGAAUCCCAGCUCUGGGGUGAGCUGACCUCACCUCCCUCCUCCCAGGGCUCCAGGCCCCUGCAGGAGGCCCCUGGCAGAGGCCUGCAAAGGAGAGCCCGAGAUUCCAAGCCAGGCCUUGCUCCUAGGGGGUGCCCUGUGCCUCUCUGGGUGAGCCCUGGGCGUGGUUUGGGACCUCUGCGACCUCGGUAAAGCAGGGUAUCCAGAGUCUUCUCCAGAGGAGUCGGGGAGACUGAACCAGUUGGGGCACAAGCACCCCUCUGCUGCCUCCUGGCACUGUGCAAGCUCAGUGAGCGCCAUCUGUCCCUGGGGUCACCAGUGAGCCUUUGUAGUUUAGGACACGCCUCGAGGGCUCCUUGGGCAAGAAUCUUGGGCAGGAUGCCCAGAGCUCUGGUUUGCCUUUGACUGUUGUGUUGGCUGUGUGGCCUUUGGCAAGUUACUUCCUGUCUCUGGUCCUCUGCUUGACCUCAACCAGCUUUGAAAGUCUGAGAGUGUCUUCAAGAAACAAAGUCUCGGGAGCCAAGCAUCAGGCGUGACCCCUGCUCAUUUCUCUUCCCAGAUGUGUGACCUGGGCCUCUCUGGGCUUCGAGCGGUAAUCACCAAAUUCUUUGUGUGACUAUUUGUUCUAAACCUGUCUUCUUGUUUCUCUGGUAAGUUCCUCGAGGGCCAUCGUGGGCUGGUGUCUGUGGCUACCUCGUGAACUCCACCCUCAGCCUGGGCCAAGGCCUCAUGCUCAGAGCCGCAGGACUCCCCUCCUGUCCACGCUGUAUCCAGCAUGC